UACGGAGGGUGCAAGCGUUGUUCGGAAUUAUUGGGCGUAAAGCGCGUGUAGGCGGCUUGGCAAGUCGGGUGUGAAAGCCCGGGGCUCAACCCCGGAAUUGCACUCGAAACUGCCUCGCUAGAGUCCCGGAGAGGAAGGCGGAAUUCUCGGUGUAGGGGUGAAAUCCGUAGAUAUCGGGAGGAACACCAGUGGCGAAGGCGGCCUUCUGGACGGUGACUGACGCUGAGACGCGAAAGCGUGGGGAGCAAACAGGAUUAGAUACCCCCGUA
rnacentral:rRNA from 1 species